rnacentral:misc_RNA from 1 species
GUGAAUCAUCGAAUUUUUGAACGCAAAUUGCACUCUCCUCGGAGAGUGUGCCUGUUUGAGGGUCAGCCUAAAUAAAAUCGACAUCGUUGCUGGUCCUCUGUGACGUUCUUCGUUGAUUGGGUUAUCUUAAACCUUGUGGUUUAAGCGACUUAGAAUUUGCCUUUGGAUUCCAUGAACGUUUCUAGGGUUUAUUUGUUGACACGGUUAAUGUAUCUAUUUUUAUUAGACGUUGCCGUCAUAUCGGAUCGCGUCCAUAAUCGUUCAUUAACUGACCUC